AAAAGGAACAGUGGUCCGUAUUAAGCAAGACAAAGACCUGGAAAUGAAAUGGGAAAUUGUCUGCAAGAAGACUUGCACAAAGAAACAUGUGGUGGAGUGGAGUUAAAGUGAAGGUUCUUCCUGAUGAGCAGAAAUAUUUGGACUUGGAGAGCAAAUAAGAGGCAGAAGGAAGGAAACGUGAGAGAUGCCCUAUGCAAUCCUUCGCUGGAACACGGCGAGCGCUCGACCAAUGGCGGCUCACGCAUGGAGGGUUUCCACGGCUACCCCCAAUCUUCCUCAUCCUCAGGUCUCCCAAGCUCCCUCCCCUCCCUGUGUCUUCCCUUCUGUUCACAUCUUCUCUGCCUUGUAAAAAUAAAUAAAUAAAAAGGUAAAUGAACACAAGAUGUCACCUGAAAUGAGAACAA